rnacentral:rRNA from 1 species
CAAUAGCGUAUAUUUAAGUUGUUGCAGUUAAAAAGCUCGUAGUUGGAUUUCUGCUGAUCGCUGUCGGUCUGCCGUCAGGUGUGUACUGGCAGUGUUUGGCAUCUAUUCGAGAUUGGGUGUCCACUUGAUUGUGUGCACUCGAUGUCGGAGCUAAUACUUUGAGAAAAUUAGAGUGUUCCACGCAGGCGCGUGCCUUGAAUACUGCAGCAUGGGAUAGUGGAAGGCCGAUUGAGCUUUCUUGUUGGUUCUCGGUUUGAUCGGAAUGAUUAAUAGGGAUAGUUGGGGGCAUUCGUAUUCAACUGUCAGAGGUGAAAUUCUUGGAUUUGUUGAAGACGGACUACUGCGAAAGCAUCUGCCAUGGAUGUUCUCAUUGA